UACGGAGGGGGCUAGCGUUGUUCGGAAUUACUGGGCGUAAAGCGCACGUAGGCGGCUUUGUAAGUUAGAGGUGAAAGCCCAGGGCUUAACCCUGGAAUUGCCUUUAAGACUGCAUCGCUAGAAUCGUGGAGAGGUGAAGUGGAAUUCCGAGUGUAGAGGUGAAAUUCGUAGAUAUUCGGAAGAACACCAGUGGCGAAGGCGACUACUGGACACGUAUUGACGCUGAGGUGCGAAAGCGUGGGGAGCAAACA
rnacentral:rRNA from 1 species